UUUAGUUCAGUUGGUCAGAGUAUUUGGCUCAUAAUCGAGCGAUCGUAGGUUCGAUUCCUACA
rnacentral:tRNA from 1 species